AGAGUUUGAUCUUGGCUCAGGAUGAACGCUGGCGGCGUGCCUGAUACAUGCAAGUCGAACGCAUCGGCAGACGGCGGAAGGGAUGGAAGGCCUAGCGGGCGAGAAAUCGUUCAAAGGGCGGGAAAUUCUGGAGGCCGUGAAGCUGGUGAGUGGCGGACGGGUGAGUAACACGUAGGUAAUCUGCCUCAAAGUGGGGGAUAACUGCUCGAAAGGGCAGCUAAUACCGCAUGUGGUCUGUGCCGGUGGGUGCAGAAGAAAGGCCUUCGGGUCGCUUUGAGAUGAGCCUGCGGCCGAUUAGCUAGUUGGUAGGGUAAAGGCCUACCAAGGCGACGAUCGGUAGCUGGUCUGAGAGGAUGAUCAGCCACACUGGGAUUGAGAACGGCCCAGACUCCUACGGGAGGCAGCAGUAAGGAAUAUUGCACAAUGGGGGAAACCCUGAUGCAGCAACGCCGCGUGGGUGAAGAAGGCCUUCGGGUCGUAAAACCCUUUACUGGGGGAUGAGGAAGGACAGUACCCCAGCAAAAAGUCUCGGCUAACUACGUGCCAGCAGCCGCGGUAAGACGUAGGAGGCGAGCGUUAUCCGGAUUCACUGGGCGUAAAGGGCAAGUAGGCGGCGGAUCAAGUUGGGCGUGACAGUUCUCGGCUUAACUGAGAGAGUGCGCACAAAACUGAUCGGCUAGAGGGCAGGAGAGGGAAGUGGAACUCCCAAAGUAGCGGUGGAAUGCUCAGAUAUUGGGAAGAACACCAGUGGCGAAGGCGGCUUCCUGGCCUGCACCUGACGCUGAGAGGCGAAAGCUAGGGGAGCGAACGGGCUUAGAUACCCCGGUAGUCCUAGCUGUAAACGGUGGAUACUAGGUAUUGGCGGUCAAGGCCGUCAGUGCCGAAGCCAACGCGUUAAGUAUCCCGCCUGGGGACUACGACCGCAAGGUUAAAACUCAAAGGAAUUGACGGGGACCCGCACAAGCAGCGGAGCGUGUGGUUUAAUUCGAUGCUACACGAAGAACCUUACCUGGGCUUGACAUGCACGUAGUAGGGAACCGAAAGGGGACCGACCCUUCGGGGAGCGUGCACAGGUGCUGCAUGGCUGUCGUCAGCUCGUGCCGUGAGGUGUUCGGUUAAGUCCGACAACGAGCGCAACCCUCGUCGCUAGUUAUACUUUACUAGCGAGACUGCCGGCAUAUAACCGGAGGAAGGUGGGGAUGAUGUCAAGUCAGUAUGGCCUUUAUGUCCAGGGCUACACACACGCUACAAUGGCCGGUACAGAGGGUAGCGAAGCCGCGAGGCGGAGCCAAUCCCAAAAAGCCGGUCUCAGUUCAGAUUGCAGGCUGCAACCCGCCUGCAUGAAGUCGGAGUUGCUAGUAACCGCAGGUCAGCCAUACUGCGGUGAAUACGUUCCCGGGUCUUGUACACACCGCCCGUCACGUCAUGGGAACUGGCAA
rnacentral:rRNA from 1 species